GACGAACGCUGGCGGCGUGCCUAAUACAUGCAAGUAGAACGCUGAAGAGAGGAGCUUGCUCUUCUUGGAUGAGUUGCGAACGGGUGAGUAACGCGUAGGUAACCUGCCUUGUAGCGGGGGAUAACUAUUGGAAACGAUAGCUAAUACCGCAUAACAAUGGAUGACACAUGUCAUUUAUUUGAAAGGGGCAAUUGCUCCACUACAAGAUGGACCUGCGUUUGUAUUAGCUAGUAGGUGAGGUAAUGGCUCACCUAGGCGACGAUACAUAGCCGACCUGAGAGGGUGAUCGGCCACACUGGGACUGAGACACGGCCCAGACUCCUACGGGAGGCAGCAGUAGGGAAUCUUCGGCAAUGGGGGCAACCCUGACCGAGCAACGCCGCGUGAGUGAAGAAGGUUUUCGGAUCGUAAAGCUCUGUUGUAAGUCAAGAACGGGUGUGAGAGUGGAAAGUUCACACUGUGACGGUAGCUUACCAGAAAGGGACGGCUAACUACGUG
rnacentral:rRNA from 1 species